GCGAGAGUGGCGGAAUUGGCAGACGCGCUGGCUUUAGGUGCCAGUGUCCCAGGACGUGGGGGUUCAAAUCCCCCCUCUCGCA
rnacentral:tRNA from 1 species